rnacentral:rRNA from 1 species
UACGGGGGGUGCGAGCGUUGUCCGGAAUCACUGGGCGUAAAGGGCGCGUAGGUGGCCUGAUAAGGGUGGGGUGAAAGUCCGGGGCUCAACCCCGGAUCUGCCGUGCCGACUGUUAAGCUAGAGUACUGUAGGGGCAGGCGGAAUUCCGGGUGUAGCGGUGGAAUGCGUAGAGAUCCGGAGGAAGACCGGUGGCGAAGGCGGCCUGCUGGGCAGUUACUGACACUGAGGCGCGACAGCGUGGGGAGCAAACAGG